rnacentral:rRNA from 1 species
UACGUAGGGUGCAAGCGUUGUCCGGAAUUAUUGGGCGUAAAGGGCGCGUAGGCGGUCAGCACAAGUCAGUUGUGAAAUCUCCGGGCUUAACUCGGAAAGGUCAACUGAUACUGUCGGGCUAGAGUGCGGGAGAGGCGAGUGGAAUUCCUGGUGUAGCGGUGAAAUGCGCGGAUAUCAGGAGGAACACCGAUUGCGAAGGCAGCUCGCUGGAACGUAACUGACGCUGAGACGCGAAAGCGUGGGGAGCAAACAGG